ensembl:snoRNA SNORA63 Small nucleolar RNA SNORA63
GUGCAUGUACUGUUACAAUCUAACUGAAGUAUUUUAUUGUUACCCGUGCUUAAAGCACUAUAGAUGCAUAACUAGGUCUGUUUAACUUCAUUCCAUAGUGAGACAAAGAUGCUUGGUUUCAAUCAU